GAGAAGCGGGAGAGUUCCAUUUGGCGGCGAUGGAGAAGGAAACGGAGUCGGAAUUGAGUUUAAAGGAGAGGGAAGGAGAUAAGAGGGAAACGGAGGCAGGUCUGGAGACGCCGAAAGGAAGAGAUUUAGGGUUGAAGGAAGAGAGAGCGAGAGACGAAGCUGAAGCAGCCAUGGGAAGAAGAAGGGAUAAGGCUUUUAGGGGUUUUUGGGUGAAGAAGAUGAUUUUGAG
rnacentral:lncRNA from 1 species